rnacentral:rRNA from 1 species
AUUGAACGCUCGCGGGAUGCUUUACACAUGCAAGUCGAACGGCAGCGCGGACUUCGGUCUGGCGGCGAGUGGCGAACGGGUGAGUAAUGUAUCGGAACGUGCCCAGUAGCUGGGGAUAACUACGCGAAAGCGUAGCUAAUACCGCAUACGCUCUACGGUGGAACGCAGGGGAUCGUAAGACCUUGCACUAUUGGCGCGGACGAUAUCGGAUUAGCUAGUUGGUAAGGUAACGGCUCACCAAGGCGACGAUCCGUAGCUGGUUUGAGAGGACGACCUACCACACUGGGACUGAGACACGGCCCAGACUCCUACGGGAGGCAGCAGUGGGGAAUUUUGGACAAUGGGGGCAACCCUGAUCCAGCCAUCCCGCGUGUGCGAUGAAGGCCUUCGGGUUGUAAAGCACUUUUGGCAGGAAAGAAACGUCGCGGGCUAAUACCCCGUGGAACUGACGGUACCUGCAGAAUAAGCACCGGCUAACUACGUG